UUUGGAUCGAUGAUGUCUUAGUUAAUUAUACUGCGUUAUCUAUCUGCAAAUCUCCUAUAUGGGUUUGAAGAUAAAACCAUUGAAAAACCUGAGAUCCAAU
rfam:Eutrema salsugineum unplaced genomic scaffold scaffold_10, whole genome shotgun sequence.